rnacentral:lncRNA from 10 species
GUAGAGACACUUUUGACUUGAUCUCUGCAGUCCUCAACAUGGUAUGUAACACAAGAUAGGUCCUUAAUACUUGCAUUUGCUUGGUUCGAAACUAAACGCGUGACCGUCACGAUGACAUCUCUCAGCUUGCUCUCAUGUGGCACCACUGGGUCAUCCUUCCCAUCCCAUGACAGUUGUUAGACUCAAGUUCAGGUUUAGUUGGUCUAUCCUAGCCCCCCGUGUUGUUUACCAUUCCACAGACAAUGCAUUUCUUGGCUACUGGGAAAAAACAUCCUGCAGUGUGAACCAAUCUCCCCCUCUCCCUGCCUAGCCCUGGGUCUCAGUUUGCAGAGGCUCUGCCUUGGGCUCAUUCUCACAGAGCAGCAGCAUUUGGGAUAGAGAAAACAGAGUGUUGUCUGCAUGGUCAAAGG